rnacentral:rRNA from 1 species
AACGAACGCUGGCGGCAGGCUUAACACAUGCAAGUCGAGCGCCCCGCAAGGGGAGCGGCAGACGGGUGAGUAACGCGUGGGAAUCUACCCAUCUCUACGGAAUAACGCAUGGAAACGUGUGCUAAUACCGUAUACGUCCUUCGGGAGAAAGAUUUAUCGGAGAUGGAUGAGCCCGCGUUGGAUUAGCUAGUUGGUGGGGUAAAGGCCUACCAAGGCGACGAUCCAUAGCUGGUCUGAGAGGAUGAUCAACCACACUGGGACUGAGACACGGCCCAGACUCCUACGGGAGGCAGCAGUGGGGAAUAUUGGAAAAUGGGCGCAAGCCUGACCCAGCCAUGCCGCGUGAGUGAUGAAGGCCCUAGGGUUGUAAAGCUCUUUCACCGGUGAAGAUAAUGACGGUAACCGGAGAAGAAGCCCCGGCUAACUUCGUGCCAGCCGCCGCCGUAAAAC